rnacentral:rRNA from 1 species
GACGAACGCUGGCGGCGUGCCUAAUACAUGCAAGUAGAACGCUGAAGGGAGAGCUUGCUCUUCUGGAUGAGUUGCGAACGGGUGAGUAACGCGUAGGUAACCUGCCUGGUAGCGGGGGAUAACUAUUGGAAACGAUAGCUAAUACCGCAUAAGAGUAGAUGUUGCAUGACAUUUGCUUAAAAGGUGCAAUUGCAUCACUACCAGAUGGACCUGCGUUGUAUUAGCUAGUUGGUGGGGUAACGGCUCACCAAGGCGACGAUACAUAGCCGACCUGAGAGGGUGAUCGGCCACACUGGGACUGAGACACGGCCCAGACUCCUACGGGAGGCAGCAGUAGGGAAUCUUCGGCAAUGGACGGAAGUCCGACCGAGCAACGCCGCGUGAGUGAAGAAGGUUUUCGGAUCGUAAAGCUCUGUUGUAAGAGAAGAACGAGUGUGAGAGUGGAAAGUUCACACUGUGACGUAUCUACCAGAAA